rnacentral:rRNA from 1 species
GUGAACGCUGGCGGUAGGCCUAACACAUGCAAGUCGAACGGCAGCACAGUAAGAGCUUGCUCUUACGGGUGGCGAGUGGCGGACGGGUGAGGAAUACAUCGGAAUCUACUUUUUCGUGGGGGAUAACGUAGGGAAACUUACGCUAAUACCGCAUACGACCUACGGGUGAAAGCAGGGGAUCUUCGGACCUUGCGCGAUUGAAUGAGCCGAUGUCGGAUUAGCUAGUUGGCGGGGUAAAGGCCCACCAAGGCGACGAUCCGUAGCUGGUCUGAGAGGAUGAUCAGCCACACUGGAACUGAGACACGGUCCAGACUCCUACGGGAGGCAGCAGUGGGGAAUAUUGGACAAAGGGCGCAAGCCUGAUCCAGCCAUACCGCGUGGGUGAAGAAGGCCUUCGGGUUGUGAAGCCCUUUUGUUGGGAAAGAAAAGCAGCAGGUUAAUACCCCGCUGUUCUGACGGUACCCAAAGAAUAAGCACCGGCUAACUUCGUG